CACUUUCCUCGUCACUCGUGUUAACUUGUACGAACACCUUCAGUUUUUCUUCCUUUCCGGCCUUAUCCACAGCAUUGUUGAUGGCGGUGGCGAGCUUUGCACUGUGCACUGUCUCGAUGCAGUAGAGGUGUGGAAUUUCUACAACCUGAAACACCAGACUUGCAGUAGAGGUGUGGAAUUUCUACAACCUGAAACACCAGACUUGCAGUAGAGGUGUGGAAUUUCUACAACCUGAAACACCAGACUUGCAGUAGAGAUGUGGAAUUUCUACAACCUGAAACACCAGACUUGCAGUAGAGGUGUGAAAUUUCUACAACCUGAAACACCAGACAAGUGAAGGAAAUACAAACUAACAAGAGCUUUCCAACAUUACAAA